rnacentral:sRNA from 1 species
AGUGAACUUCGUUUGCAGUGAAAAUCCUUUUAUGAAGCGCAGCGGAAUAAAAGAUUGCAGCGGAUAGCCCGACCCGCU